GUCCCUUAACAUCCAUCCUCCCAUAAUCCAUCCAGGUUUUCUUCCGGGAAAGCUCGGACGCGCUGCAGGAAUGCCUGCAAGAGCAACCAUUGUUUUGUUUUUUUUGUCCGUAACUGAGAAAGAAUAAAAAAAGAGGGCGUCCAUCAGAAGAGGAAGAAGAAUAAGGAGGAGGAGCAGCAGGGAAUCCAGCUGCUGCAGCUAUGGCCGCCAAAGAGAUCACCGUUUUUGGCUUCGCGAGUGUGAACAAGGACAUCACAGACAGUAUCAGGAAGAUCAUCGAGAAAUCAACCAUUAAGUUCAUUUGCGGAAUUAAGACUGACACCAAGAGUGGUAAAACAGAGGACCGGAUACUGGUGCUAACAACGUGGCGUCUCUACUUCCUGGCACCCAAGAUUCCCGCCAAGGUUGAAUCCACAUUUAACUUUUUGGAGAUCCGAGCAUUGAAUUCACACCCAGAUCACCAGGUCAUUAUCGACACUGACAAGUCCACCUGCUGCCUGAGGUUCGAGUCACGUGACCACCUCAACCACGUGGUCAGCCACAUCAAUUAUGCGCUCUCACGGAUAUUCAACAACUCAGUAUUUGCCCCGUCCAUCUGUCAUUCUGAUAGCGACCUUUCAGAGGGCAGCAGGAAGUAUUCGCCCACCUCGGAGACGUCGGUGGAAACCCAGCGGGCCUGUGGAGGCUUUUCAGAAACCUACGCGGCACUGUGCGACUAUAAUGGCAUCAGCUGCAAGGAGGAAGUGCAAUGGGACGUUGACACCAUCUACCAUUCCCAGGACAACCGUCAAUUCAACCUGCUAGACUUUAGCCACCUUGAGAGCAGGGAUCUGGCGGUGAUUGUAGCAUCGGUGGCGUACAACACGUGGUUUACUAAGCUGUACUGCAAAGACCUGCGCUUGGGCUCAGAGGUGACUGAGCAAGUCCUGCACACUGUCAGCAAAUCAUCCAGCCUGGAGGAGAUCACGCUGGAGAACGCUGGGUUGAAAUCAGACUUUCCACAGAAGAUGUCGGCCGCUCUCUCCGAGAACCCCACCGCUGUCAUCCACUCGCUCAACCUGGCGCACAACUCUCUGGACAACCAAGGUGUGGCCAACCUGAUCCAGCAAAUGUGUCAUCUCAGCAAGGGUCUCCGUCUCCUCAACCUCUCCAAGACCUCGCUGACCUCCAAAGGGGUUGUGUCGCUUUCUAUGGCGCUAAACUCCAGUGACGAGUACUCCAACUCGCUUCUGCACCUGGACCUGAGCAAGAACCCCGGCGUCCUGUCCGGGGACGACUCCUCGAGCUUGUAUCUCUUCUUGUCGCAGCCCAACUGCCUGGUGCAUUUGGAUCUGUCGGGCACAGAUUGCUCUGUGGACUCACUAUUUGGGGCUCUUCUGAGGGGCUGUUGCGCUGAUCUCUCCUUUCUGAAUCUUUCCAAAAAUUCCUUCUCCCACAGAAAAGGGAAGGACACGUUGCCGUUGUUCCGUCAGUUCUUCAGCUCCGCGUUCAGUCUCACCCACGUCAGCCUGGCCGGCAUGAAACUGCCCCCUGAUGUUCUCAGGGCUCUCCUCAUGGGCUUAACCUCCAACCCUCACAUCAACGACCUUCAUCUCGACAUCAGCGGCUGUGAACUUCGAUGUGCAGGAGCUGCUGUCCUUCAGGAGCUCUUCCCCAGAGUCUCUUCCAUCGGCACGUUGGACAUCUCAGACAAUGGUUUGGAUGCAGACUUGCUCACAGUGCUGCCCGCCCUCUCCAGGCACCCAUCGCUGAAACACCUUCAUCUCGGCAAGAACUUCAACAUCAAAAACAGGGUUCUGGAUGAAGUCCUGCAGAAGCUGGUGCAGCUCAUACAAGAGGAGGAAUGUGCCCUGCAGACCCUGUCGCUGACCGACUCCCGCCUCCGUUCCCGGGGCACGGUGCUGGUCAAUGCCCUGGGGAGCAACACCUGUCUGAGGAAAGUGGACCUGAGUGGCAAUAACAUGGACGACAUCGGUGCCAAGAUGCUGAGCAAAGCCCUGCAGAUCAACACCACUCUCCGGAGCGUGACAUGGGAUCGCAACAAUACCUCCGCAGCAGGAUUUCUCGACGUGGCCAGAGCACUCGAACAUAAUUUCACCCUGCAGUACAUGCCGCUCCCCCUGAGCGACAUCAGCCAGGCAUACCGCAGCGCCCCCGAGAGGACAGAGCAGGCACUUACCAAGAUCCAGAGGGCUUUGGUGAGGAACAACCAGACUCAGCGUUUCUCCCAGCGUCAGGCUCUUCGGCUGCAUCAAGGCCUCGUCACCAGCACCGCAGAGCAGGUAAUGGAGCGUCUAUGCGCACGCGUUCAGCAGCAAGUGUGCCUACUGCGAGGCGUCGGCGAGGCAGAUGACAUUCAUGCAGCCAAACAAGUGUUAAAGGAGGCCAGGAAUUCCCGCGCGCUGUACCCCUCCCUGUGCGAGUUGGCCCACGUACUCUCCGUGGACGGGCCAGUGCGCCAGCGUUUGGACUCGCUGGCUGGCGAGCUUGCCAAAGCCGCAGACAAGGAGCUCCAGGUGAUCGUUGAAUCGAUGGUGUCUCUCUGCCGUGAGCUCUGUCCCUUAUCAUCUGCCGCGGCGGAGCGACUGACCCCCCCGCUCUCAUCCGUCUCGGAUCGCGUGUCCGUACCUCGUGCCGCCAUCCGCACCGCCCUGAUGGAAAGAGCAGCACAGGAUGUCCACCGAGCCUUAGAAGAAGUCAAACUGUCUGUUGUCUCCUAUCUGACCAACUCAAUCGUGGACCAAAUCCUGCAGGAACUCUAUGCCACCCACAAGACGUUGACCCGCCAGAUGUCUCAUCUCAAACGUCGGGAUGGGUCGUGCGAAGAUGGAACAGGCUGGAGGUUCUACAGACACAGAGACUCUCUUGACAUCACUGAGGAGGAGCUCGGCACCAGUAUAGACACAAUAGCCAUUAAGAAACGCAGCUCGAGAACAAGACGAAUACGACCCGUCUCCACCAGGCUGAGUCUCUGUGAUGACUCCAGUUCCUCGCCGCCCCCUUCCAUCCUGUCCUACUCCACGCCGCUGUCCCGCUCAGCCUCCUGGGAGGGUCUCUCUGAAUUGCCCACGCAAGGUCUGCCUCUCCACCACGUGACCAGGGUCCGCCCGAGACCUCCACGCAGGCACAAAGGAGGAUACCUACCAGCUGAGACGCAUUGUAGUGAAAAUGGAGGAAUUAGCCCGCUGGAUGACGGACUGCCAGAUUUCUAUACUAAAAGAGUCCUACCAGAUAGUCAACUCUCCUCUCUGCACAACACACACUCGCUGAGGAGGAAGAAAAGGAGGAAUGUGCUCGCCAUCUUUGGUUUCCGCAGAAACCGCAACCAGACGCUGUCCAACCAGGAGUCCGACGCUGACUUUUAUGGCGAUCACACCGUUGCUCGUGCAUCAGCAGGGCCGGCCGCAGAGAACGUGUACACACUCCUCCAGCCCCCGAGGUCUGCCGCCAGGGUGGGCUCUCCCGGAAACGGACCCGAUGGGAAAACUACUCUGGCUUUGAGUCCGCCACCACCAUUGCCAGGCUUUCCGCAAUCAGGGAUGGGAGGGAGCAAACACCCCUUUUACUCCCCCACUGAGCACUCCGAAAAGGACGCAGUGCCCGAGCACCCGCUGAUGGAAGCCGACAAGUACUGGGCGGACGACAGGCAGAGGACCACCGAGGUGCUGCAGGCCGAGGACAUGUGGAUGGACAGCAGGCCGGGCGAGCGGCACGCAGAACGGCGGCGCUCGGAUGAGAAGCCGGGAGAGGCGUGGACCGCCGACAGAAACACAGACCGCCAAAUUGACAGACAAUGGACAGCGGAAAGACACACGCAGUGGCAGAUCGAUCGGAAGAUGGAGAGACAGCGGCUAGGCGGCAGGCAGAUCGACCGCUCGUGGUCUGAAGGCAAGCAAACGGACGUGCAGUUGGACAGCCAGUGGACGGAAAGGACUGUGUGGAAGGCGGACAGACAAGUCCAGGCGCUUCAUUUCACUCAAAGGCCUUUGCCGCCGUACCCCUCGGACAGGACGCCCUCGCCCAAACAAGAAAUGAGCGCGGAGCUGGACAUACAGGGAGAGAGACACAUCAAUCCUGAUGCUUGCGUAGAAGGGUGGAGGAGCGGCUACGCCGGGCGACCAAUCUCCUGCGUGGCGAAACCUGAACCCCCACCGCAAAGUAGCAAACCCAACUUAUCCAAACUGAGGCAAAGGCAUAGACUGGAGAGCUCCGACACGCUACCUGAAGAGGAUGCCGAUGGAGAAAGCGAUCCAGCCAAGUUGGACAAGAAGGACCAGGAAAAAAGAAGAGAUUCGGAGGGUCAACCGCCGCCGAUUCCAGAAAAGCCAAAGACGUCAUACGUGACUUUCAUGAAAGACCCGGCUCCGGAGAGGAGCUUGCCCCCUCCACCUUUGCCCCCGCCGUUUGGCAGAUCUGUGCACGGGCUGCCUGACAGAGCUGCCAGUCAAGGCGAAGAAGGAUUGCGACCUCAGGCACCCGUCAAGCCCCAGAGGAACAGAAAAGCCAUGUCGUGCGACGCAGGCACGGACAGGGACAGCCCCGAUAACAUUGAGAAGCCCCCAAAUCGCAAACCCCCCGAAAAAAAGCCUAGAAUGCCUCAAAACAGAAAUAAGUCGCUGGACUUGUCUGACAGUUUCAACACAGCACCCGGUCACAGCGAGCUGGUGUGAUGAUGUCCCGGCAGGGUGGAUAACACACACACAUUCACACACAUUAUUCUGCUCCACUCAUUUAACAGUGUUUGCCUCUUGAAAAGACCCCCUCAAAUCUUUAUCAUCGACCCCGAUCCCGACUCGUGGCUUGUAAAAUGCUUUUUUUUUUAAAAGUAAUAAUAGAAUGUGAUUUCUACGUAUGCAGUGCCCGCCAACACAGCCGACUGCCUUGAAACGACUUGAGGAUUUAUAUCUGAAAGGAACAAUUGUGACUCUGCUGUCUUACUAGCUGCCAAAGGCACGCCAUGGACUUGAGGUCAGGCUCCCCAAUACCAAACCCAUCCUUAAUUGCUGAAUUGGUCAAAUUGUACGCAGACGCAACAGGGGUGAUGGUGCAUCUGUGGACAAUGAGGUAAGUUCCUCUGUGUGGCUCCCACUCUUUUUGUCCCGUGUCCUCGCCGGAGGCCCUGUUGGUUUUGCCGCAAAGCUUUCCUCCGGAAACAGAUAAAGAUAAAGAGGUUAAAACACAAGGGGGUGGAAGUUACGACUAACUGGGACUUUGAGCGGAAAAAUGCUUCUUUGAAAAACAUAUGGGCGGUCUCCUUUUUCAUGAAUCGGCACAGUGUUGCUUGUACAAAUCAGAUUUGUUUAAAAAAAAAAAACAUCAUUAACUGCUUCAUGAGACACUGCUAUCAGACACAGACACACACACACACACACACUCACACACACACACACACGCACCCGCGCGCAAAGACUCCGGAUUAGCAAAUUUGGCGGCCAAAAAUGCUUGUUGUGCAUUUCUCGACUUAGAUGGCUUGUGAAGAAACAGAAUUAAUUGCCAGAUUUUGAGUCUAACAGAUAGAGGCAGGA